AUGUACCAACUCUACCCGGGAUAUGAGUAUCAACUGUCAUAUGCAAGUCUAAGUUACAGUGGGUUAAAUGUACAUGUAAAUAUGGCUACUAUCACCAGUACAUGCAACUCGUACCUGUAUAUAACAUCAUACAAACAUUUGGAAAUUAUUUGCAAAUUGGACUUAGGAAGUAAUCUCUCAAAACAUUUGUGUACAUCAACGAAGGAUUGUAAUGAUGUGUCUAAGAUGUGUUUUCGAUCUUGGACAGAACAAUUGGGCAUAUGUGUAUGUAGACCUGAAUAUAUAGGAUUUGAAACCGAAUGUUUAAAAGGAAAUUUGAAAUUGGGAGACCAAUGCCAGCGAAAAGAGCAGUGUUCUGUGACAUCUGUUUCUGUUUGUAAGAACAAUACUUGUGUCUGUAGGCCAGGAUAUAUCCAGUAGAGUGA